rnacentral:rRNA from 1 species
GACAGAGGGUGCAAACGUUGUUCGGAAUUACUGGCGUAAGCGCGAUGUAGGCUGCUUCGCAAGUCGGAUGUGGAAGCCCUGGGCUCAACCCAGGAAGUGCAUUCGAAACUGCAGAGCUGGAGUCCUGGAGAGGAAGGCGGAAUUCUCGGUGUAGAGGUGAAAUUCGUAGAUAUCGAGAGGAACACCGGUGGCGAAGGCGGCCUUCUGGACAGUGACUGACGCUGAGACGCGAAAGCGUGGGGAGCAAACAGG